GGCCAAGAGCCUUCAUCAGAAAAUGCCGCUUCACUAUCCGUAACCAUCUCCUUUGGCAGAAAGCAUUCCACAGGCCGGCGACUCAGAGAGUGGACACACCUCCGUACAGAAUGGUCGUUGUCUCCUCUUCGGCGCUGAGUGGCUGCAGCGGGAGCAGGGCUCCGAGCACCAGGAGCAGCGCGUUCCUCAUCAUUCCCUGCGCUCCUCCGGAAGAGGAGGAGGUGCUGCCCUCUGUGUGAAUACGGGGCGCGAUCCCAGCGUUCAUCAUCACUCGAGCUGAUUAUUAAUUGGCUUCGUCUUGCUGGUUAAAACGGUCAGUUGACUCUCAAUAGAUUCGAAGAUCGUACAGUUCUUCCCGUGCAGGUUUUGCAUUCACUAAUCUCACCGAAGAGUCCCUCGGAGCCUCCCAUGUUCCAGUCAUCUCACCAAGACUCUGAAGGACUGUGCAGAGAGAGAUGAAAGCACUGCUUUUGCUGCUAAUCAACCUGGUACUCGUCGAGCCUAUCACUGCCGAUGGAGAAUCGAGGCCAAGGUUUUUUUCUGGCCUACUCAACUCUUGUGGAUUCCGCGGAGGAAUUUGCAAGCGAUCACCUUGUGAUCCGCAUGAAAUCCCUUACAAUGCGAUUUGUACCAUUGGGCUAUACUGCUGCAAGAGAAAAUGGAUGUACAGCGAAAAAAUUCUAAAAUGAGACCCAUCUGAGACACCAACUGAUGCUAACCAUCAUUUCUGUAGGUCAUCUGUGUUUCCUUGUGUGGAUCAAAUGACCCCUGCCCUAUUGCUUUCUGAACCAUGUCAAUAAAAUUCAUUGCAUUGCC